UUUAACUGAAGAGUUUGAUCAUGGCUCAGAUUGAACGCUGGCGGCAGGCUUAACACAUGCAAGUCGAGCGGGGGAAGGUAGCUUGCUACCGGACCUAGCGGCGGACGGGUGAGUAAUGCUUAGGAAUCUGCCUAUUAGUGGGGGACAACAUCUCGAAAGGGAUGCUAAUACCGCAUACGUCCUACGGGAGAAAGCAGGGGAUCUUCGGACCUUGCGCUAAUAGAUGAGCCUAAGUCGGAUUAGCUAGUUGGUGGGGUAAAGGCCUACCAAGGCGACGAUCUGUAGCGGGUCUGAGAGGAUGAUCCGCCACACUGGGACUGAGACACGGCCCAGACUCCUACGGGAGGCAGCAGUGGGGAAUAUUGGACAAUGGGGGGAACCCUGAUCCAGCCAUGCCGCGUGUGUGAAGAAGGCCUUAUGGUUGUAAAGCACUUUAAGCGAGGAGGAGGCUACUUUAGUUAAUACCUAGAGAUAGUGGACGUUACUCGCAGAAUAAGCACCGGCUAACUCUGUGCCAGCAGCCGCGGUAAUACAGAGGGUGCGAGCGUUAAUCGGAUUUACUGGGCGUAAAGCGUGCGUAGGCGGCUUAUUAAGUCGGAUGUGAAAUCCCCGAGCUUAACUUGGGAAUUGCAUUCGAUACUGGUGAGCUAGAGUAUGGGAGAGGAUGGUAGAAUUCCAGGUGUAGCGGUGAAAUGCGUAGAGAUCUGGAGGAAUACCGAUGGCGAAGGCAGCCAUCUGGCCUAAUACUGACGCUGAGGUACGAAAGCAUGGGGAGCAAACAGGAUUAGAUACCCUGGUAGUCCAUGCCGUAAACGAUGUCUACUAGCCGUUGGGGCCUUUGAGGCUUUAGUGGCGCAGCUAACGCGAUAAGUAGACCGCCUGGGGAGUACGGUCGCAAGA
rnacentral:rRNA from 1 species